ACUGUGUGCAGCGUAGGCGUGUGUCUCAGCAAUGGUGUGGAAAUGUUACAUGCUGCUGCAUGGUGGGCUACAGCAACGUUUGCCUGAACCCCCCAGUGCUGUGAGGAAAUGGAACUGAAGACGUCCUGGAGAGCAGACCUGAUCAUUGUCAAAAUAACAUGAAGGUCACAGGGCGUCUGCAAAGAUUCUCAAGAGGACAAGCAAAGUCAGAAAAAACCGUCAGAACUGAUUCAACAGAGCAUUGGUGACCCUGCUUGUUGGAGUCGUGAUGGAAGCCACUCUGGCAUUUCAGAGACGGUUUGGCCUCAUUCCGUAACGGAUGUGAGACCCCCAGGUUUGAGACCCCUGGCUGGCCAAGACGUAGGCAAGUUUAGCUGAGACAGAGCAGUGGAACACAUUGGCUGUUUCACUCUGCAAGGCUGCAGCACAUGUCUUAAUUCCUUCAGUUGCACCCCAUUAAAUCCCAUUCAUUGUUCUUGCGGUCAAAGCAAGGAUUUUCUUUUUUCAUAAUAAACUCAAAUUGCAGGUCUGUAGGAGCAUGGGAUUAUCCUGAAUGGACUGGUGACUUGAAUCUUUUCAAGUUUUCUUUAAGAAAGAAACAAUAUUUACAGUACGGAAGAGGAUAUACAUGAUACAUGAGCCGUAUUGUUUGAUAGUGCCGUUG